rnacentral:tRNA from 1 species
GCCCGGAUAGCUCAGUCGGUAGAGCAGGGGAUUGAAAAUCCCCGUGUCCUUGGUUCGAUUCCGAGUCCGCACCA